GCCGAAGUGGUGGAAUUGGUAGACACGCUAGGUUCAGGGUCUAGUGCACGUAGGUGCGUGGGAGUUCGAGUCUCCCCUUCGGCACCA
rnacentral:tRNA from 1 species